rnacentral:rRNA from 1 species
AUGCUCAACCCAAAGGAUUCAGCAUUAGGAAGUGCCACCUUAGCUGAUCAGAGUUUAAGUUCCAUAUAUUUUGUUUGUAGCAGGGCAGGUGUGAAGGCCACUCAUCCAACACAUGUAGCCAAGAAAGAACGGGCUAUUUAAAGGACUGCUUGCUUGGCUUGUGUUCAAUUCAACAUCACUAGGUAGGGUAUUUGGAGUAUUCGGAAAGUAAUGCUUCAUCAGCUUGUAAGUCCAGAUAAGAGGCGCAUGCUUAGGUUGCAGCGUCAAUUAGAUGCCGAUCACCACAUGAUAAAGCAAAAGAGGACAUCAAAAAUUAAACAAGCUAAAAUAUAGUAUGAUUUAUGUGAGCUUUGGUAUGGUAAAGAUGUAGUGCCCUUCUUGCAAACGGAUUGUAACAAUUAUGGAAGUGAGCGCUCGAAGUAUAUAACCACGGAUGCACAAACAUUAAUUGAGUAUCUAAAGAACAAGCAAGUUGAGGACCCUUCGUUUUUCUAGGCUAUGCAAUUAGAUGAUGAUGAUGGUACAAUAAUGAAUAUCUUUUGGAUUGAUGGACAAGCUAUCAUGGAUUGUUCUGUUUUUGGAGAUGCUCUUUCCUUUGACACCACAUUUUCAACAAAUGAGUUUCAAAUGCCAUUCGCUCCAUUUAUUGGUGUUAAUCAUCACAAGCAAACUAUUCUUUUUGGUGCAGCACUGUUGUAUGAAGCCAUGGAUACCUUUGAGUGGAUUUUUAGAACCUUCCUACAAGCUAUGUCUGGUAAGCAACCUAAUACAAUAUUCACCGAUCAAUGUGCUGCCAUUAUAAAUGCUAUUGGAAGGGUUUUCCCGGAAACAAGGGAUCGUCUUUGUUUGUGGCAUUUGUAUCAAAAUGCCACUAAACACCUAAGCCAAGUAAUGAACGACCAUCCUAAGUUUCUUACGGAAUUAAAAAGAUGUGUGGAAGAUAGAUCGGUGACACAUUUUGAGAAUAGAUGGCACGAGCUAUUGGUUAAGUACCAAACUGAGGAAAAUUCUUGGGUAAAAAAUCUAUAA